rnacentral:siRNA from 1 species
GGUCUGCCAAUGGAGGAUCCACUC